rnacentral:lncRNA from 1 species
CCGAGGUUAGAAGACCUGGAUCCACUUUGCAGGAUUUUAAAUAUCCUUCAAGCCUCAGUGCCUGGCAGACUGGACUUUGGACUUCGGACUUCCAGCUCCGAUGCUGAAAAAGGAGGGUUUUUUUUUUUUGCUUUUGUUUGUUUGUUUGUUUGUUUGUUUUCCACUUUGCUUCCUUGCUUGUCGAGGCUGAGAACAUACGGUGUUUUUGAGGGCCAUCAUCUAAGGGUACUCGCUUCUCCAAACCUUGGAACCCGAGGUCUAGCCUUGGAAAGAGUUGCCGCCUUACCGUCUCUCCUCGCCUAGAGAAGCCCCAGCUGUGUGCGCUACUGCAGGGUCACAGUGCCGUGGUGCCGAGCUUCUUUCGUGGUCCCUGUCGCCGUCAGUUUCUUGAGAUUUCAGACUCUGGGCUUGGAAACCAGUUGACUGCCUUUCUUAGCGAGGUGCCCUCGGAAACCUGUGGAGGAAUGUUUGGAUUAUGAAUGCUCACCGUGCCGAGGUUUUGAGACUACUGUAAGACAGAUGAGAAAACCUGAGGUUUUGACAGUUCUUGGGGAAUAUGGACGAAAUUUCCCAGAAAGGAGUUGCUUUUUCAAGUUGAACCUUCUGCGAGGAGACUGAUCAACCAAUGUGGAGAGGUUGGAAUGUUGCAAGUUCAGAGCCAACUUAUCUCAGGCCAUCUUUAAUCCCUCCUGACAGUCCUCGAAGCUGUGUGACAGAGGUGGAGCACCUGGAAUGCACAGAGAACCAGGCUCCCUUUGGAAAAUAUUCACUUGCUUCCACCAGCCCAAACCCAAAGGUACCAUCAGUAUGUGAGGCCUACAACAGGGUUCUCUGUUUUCCUGUAGCCAGCCUCUCUGAUGCUCCCAACAAUGUAUUUG